rnacentral:lncRNA from 1 species
AGAACUGAAAAUCCACAAAGGUUUCCCCAUGGAAUGUCAUCAAAAGAGCUCCAGUAUUCCACUUUGGUAAAGUAGAGGAUAAUAGGAAUGCAGGUGAUGAAGAGGAUGUUAAACACACCCAAGAUGGACAAAAAUAAGGCGGCUUCUCCAAACUUAGCACUGCCCAGGAGGAGCUUGAACAAAACCUGUACCUUGUAGAGGGCAGACAUCGAUGCUGAGGCCACCACCAGUGCGAUGCCGAUGACGGAGUGGCUGUGGAAGCCAUCAGCGUAGGUCAUCAUCACAAUGCCAGCGAUGGCGAGGAUGGCGGCCACAAUCUGG